rnacentral:rRNA from 2 species
GGGUUGUGAGGUUAAGCGACUAAGCGUACACGGUGGAUGCCCUGGCAGUCAGAGGCGAUGAAGGGCGUGCUAAUCUGCGAUAAGCGCCGGUAAGGUGAUAUGAACCGUUAUAACCGGCGAUACCCGAAUGGGGAAACCCAGUGUGAUUCGUCACACUAUCAUUAACUGAAUCCAUAGGUUAAUGAGGCGAACCGGGGGAACUGAAACAUCUAAGUACCCCGAGGAAAAGAAAUCAACCGAGAUUCCCCCAGUAGCGGCGAGCGAACGGGGAGGAGCCCAGAGCCUGAAUCAGCAUGUGUGUUAGUGGAAGCGUCUGGAAAGGUGCGCGAUACAGGGUGACAGCCCCGUACACAAAAGCGCAUGUGCUGUGAGCUCGAUGAGUAGGGCGGGACACGUGGUAUCCUGUCUGAAUAUGGGGGGACCAUCCUCCAAGGCUAAAUACUCCUGACUGACCGAUAGUGAACCAGUACCGUGAGGGAAAGGCGAAAAGAACCCCGGCGAGGGGAGUGAAAAAGAACCUGAAACCGUGUACGUACAAGCAGUGGGAGCACAGGUUUACC